rnacentral:rRNA from 1 species
UGCGACGUCCGCAGCCGGGGCGCUGAUGCAAUGUGGUUUCUGCCCAGUGCUCUGAAUGUCAAAGUGAAGAAAUUCCGCGAAGCUCGGGUAAACGGCGGUGGUAACUAUGACUCUCUUAAGGUAGCCAAAUGCCUCGUUAUCUAAUUAGUGACACAUCAGGAAUGGAUUAACGAGAUUCCCACUGUCCCUAUCUAACUAGCGAAACCACAGCCAAGGGAAUGGGCUUAGAAAGAAGACCCUGUUGAGCUUGACUCUAGUCUGACCUUGUGAAGAGACACGGGGGGGUGUAGGAUAGGUGGGGAGGCCCCAGCCCAACGGUGAAAUACCACUACUCUCGUCGUUUCUUUGCUUAGCCGGUGAGGCGGGGAGCGGGCCCCGCGCGGACCCAGUCUACUGGCGCUACGCUGCUGGCCGGCUUGCAGCGCCGCCGGCCGCCACCCGCUCCGGCGACAGCGUCAGGCGGGGAGUUUGACUGGGGCGUUACAUCUGUCAAAGGGUAACGCAGGUGUCCUAAGGCGAUCUCAGCGAGGACGGAAAACUCGCGCGAAGCAAAAGGCAAAAGCUCCUUUGAUUUUGAUUUUCAGUAUGAAUACAGACCGUCAAAGCGUGGCCUAUCGAUCCUUUUGAGCUUCGGAGUUUAAAGCAAGAGGUGUCAGAAAAGUUGCCACAGGGAUAACUAGCUUGUGGCAGCCAAGCGUUCAUAGCUACGUUGCUUUUUGAUCCUUCGAUGUCGGCUCUUCGUAUCAUUGCAAAGCAGAAUUUGCCAAGCGUUGGAUUGUUCAUCUACCAUUUGGGAACGCAAGCUGGAUUUAGACCGUCGUGAGACAGGUUAGUUUUGCCCUACUGAUGAGAGGUCGCCGCCACGGCAAUCCUGCUCAGUACGAGAGGAACCGCAGAUUCGGACCCUGGUUCACGCGCUCGGUCGAGAGGCCGGUAGUGCGAGGCUACCACCCGAGAGAUUACGGGUGAGCGCCUCUAAGUCUGAAUCUCUGCCGGUGCCCGGCGACGCCGCCGACGCCCUGCCCGAGGGCGGCCCGCGUCAGCACCCAUCCGCUCUUUGCCUUGG